rnacentral:rRNA from 1 species
GUAGGUGGCAAGCGUUGUCCGGAAUUAUUGGGCGUAAAGCGCGCGCAGGUGGUUCUUUAAGUCUGAUGUGAAAGCCCCCGGCUCAACCGGGGAGGGUCAUUGGAAACUGGGGAACUUGGAUGCAGGAGAGGAAAGUGGAUUCCACGUGUAGCGGUGAAAUAGCGUAGAUAUGUGGAGGAACACCAGUGGCGAAGGCGACUUUCUGGCCUGUAACUGCACUGAGGCGCGAAAGCGUGGGGAGCAAACAGGGAUUAGAUACCCUGGUAGUCCACGCCGUAAACGAUGAGUGCUAAGUGUUGGGGGGGUUUCCCGCCCCCUCAGUGCUGCAGCUAACGCAUUAAGCACUCCGGCUGGGGAUACCGGUGCAAGACUG